rnacentral:rRNA from 1 species
GUAAGGAAUAUUGGACAAUGGACGCAAGUCUGAUCCAGCCAUGCCGCGUGAAGGAUUAAGGUCCUCUGGAUUGUAAACUUCUUUUAUAAGGGACGAAAAAAGGCUUUUCUAAGUCGUCUGACGGUACCUUAUGAAAAAGCACCGGCUAACUCCGUGCCAGCAGCCGCGGUAAUACGGAGGGUGCAAGCGUUAUCCGGAUUCACUGGGUUUAAAGGGUGCGUAGGCGGGCAGGUAAGUCAGUGGUGAAAUCCUAGAGCGUAACUCUAGAACUGCCAUUGAUACUAUCUGUCUUGAAUAUUGUGGAGGUAAGCGGAAUAUGUCAUGUAGCGGUGAAAUGCUUAGAUAUGACAUAGAACACCUAUUGCGAAGGCAGCUUACUACGCAUAUAUUGACGCUGAGGCACGAAAGCGUGGGGAUCAAACAGGAUUAGAUACCCUGGUAGUCC